GGUGAGGAGAGCAGCGAGAGGUGAGGAGAGCAGCGAGAGCACUACACAAGUACUGUGAAUCGAUUGCCUUCAGAACUUAUUCCAGUGACUCGGGUAUCUUUCAAAGGAGCAAGGGAAAGCGACGACUCUGGUCUGAGACAACGCAGCUUCUCGUCUCAAGACAACUCUCAGACGGUGGAGACGACGCCGAUCCAAGUCGACGACGAUGCCGCCAGCUCCCCACGCCGAGCAGCCCAUGGCUCCGGCUCGCGCCGCUUCUGAAGCUCGCCCGGUGCGAGCCACGCCGCCCCCAAUCACGAAGUUUUCUCACCGCCCUCGUCACGUGACCCCGCCGCUACUCACCGCCCUCAUCACCACGUGACUCCACCGCCACUCGCCGCCCUCAUCACCACGUGACCCCGCCACCACUCGCCGCCCUCAUCACCACGUGACCCCGCCACUCGGUCACGUGCCCCCGCCAUUGGGUCACGUGACUGGGUCACGUUACCCCGUCACCGCCCUCAUCACACGUGCCCCGCCAUUGGGUCACGUGACCCUCCCCCCUCACGUGACCCCGUCAACGUUCGCCUCGUCAAUCAUUAGCACGUCCACCAGUCGCCAUGGUCCCGGGGAACCACACUGUCCCGCUCCGCACUCUCUUUACCUGUAAACAAAUAAAGCCCUCGUGAUUGACGCUUCGGUCACGGACCCUCGCUCCAGCCACAGCUAGCAGCUGAAGGGAAAUGCCUAUCCACUGCUAGCGUGUUGCCAUGCGUUCGCGCGAUUUUCCGAACCGGCCUCAAGACUAGUACCUGGUGCGGUGUGUAGUGAACAUCGCCACUGGGGAGACAAAGGCGGCUGGGCGUGGUGCUGGCCACACCCGUCCCCCCCCCCUCUCUCGUGUGCCGGCAGCCCUCAUUAGGUGCCGCUACGAGUGUGUCGAGGACGUACGAGCAAUGCCUGUCGGUGUAUCUGAGUGCUGGCGUCCUCGUGCAGUGGUUCGCGCAUCGUCACGACUUCUCCUGGGACUCCAGGUG